CGUACGGUGUUCAUACAGCGUCUUCGUUUAUGCCAGUAGUUGCAGAGUGCGUCUUCUCUCGAGCUGUUACUACGCAUUCGACACAAAAAUCAAUGAAAACUGGUAAACGCAUGCUAAUGUCUUCAAGGCAAGCCUUCACAGCCAUUGCAAUAAUAGGCAGUCAUUCAGCUAUCCAAAAAAGUCGGCCAGUUUUAGCGAAUCGCCGCAGAAUUACAGCUACGAAACUUCUCAUCUGCUUUGUCGUUGCGUCCUCCUGCCUUGUUCAAGUGAAUGCUGUAAGAGGCUUCAUAUACCAGCACUGUAUUACAGAAGUAGCAGUUCAAACUUGCAAAGAACACGCCAAAGACUGGGGCGUUGACUUUUUAACCCGGUCAUGUAAGUUGUUUUUUGAAUACAAGUGUAAUACAACAACAGCGGCUACAUCAUCAACGAAAGUGACAACAAUAUACAGAAGGAAGAGCUUCCCUUCCGAAAUGAAUUGCCAGCAGCAAUGUCUGCCUCCACAACGGCGAAGUGUUUUGUGCAGUGUUACACCAAAACCUGGACCAUGUCCGCCAAUGAAACAAACGUGGUAUUUUGAUCAGACAAGUGGAUUUUGUAAAAGAUAUCCUCCAGGAACAUGUGGAGCAUCUGCGAAUAGAUUUUCAUUGUGUGAAACGUGCACAUGGCGAU